rnacentral:rRNA from 1 species
UACGUAGGUGGCAAGCGUUAUCCGGAUUUAUUGGGCGUAAAGGGAACGCAGGCGGUCUUUUAAGUCUGAUGUGAAAGCCUUCGGCUUAACCGGAGUAGUGCAUUGGAAACUGGCAGUCUCGAGUUGGAGAGAAGUAUGCGGAAUGCGCGGUGUAGCGGUGAAAUGCAUAGAUAUCGCGCAGAACUCCGAUUGCGAAGGCAGCAUGCCGGCUCCACACUGACGCUGAGGCACGAAAGCGUGGGUAUCGAACAGG